GAUGACGACGUAUCCUUACAGUCUUUAUUUAAAGGGAAAAUUAUAAAAAUUUCUCCUCGUUACCUAAAAAUCUAGGUUUCUCAAGAAUCGCUAAACCUAGAUCCCAAUCCUUGAAAAUCUCAAUUUAACCUCCCUAGCGUUUCGAUUGUCGAGGAUUCGCUUCAAAAUUUAGUAUUUUUUAGUGGAUUUUGCUUGUCUCGUAUCCUUAAAUUGUUGUUCGGUUCUGAAAAUAAUUUGGAUUUUUAGGGAUUUUCAGAUUAUUGGGUUUUGUUGAGUACAAUUUCGUCUAGUUACGGUUUCAGUUUGAAGGGUUAAAUGCAAUUUCGAUUUUUUUUUAUAAAAUUAAAAUUAAAAUUCAUAAAACGAUUGGGCGUUUAAUAAUU
rnacentral:lncRNA from 1 species